CAGUAGCCGCGGUAAUACGUAGGGUGCGAGCGUUAAUCGGAAUUACUGGGCGUAAAGCGUGCGCAGGCGGUUGUGUAAGACAGGUGUGAAAUCCCCGGGCUUAACCUGGGAACUGCGCUUGUGACUGCACAGCUAGAGUAUGGCAGAGGGGGGUGGAAUUCCACGUGUAGCAGUGAAAUGCGUAGAGAUGUGGAGGAACACCGAUGGCGAAGGCAGCCCCCUGGGCCAAUACUGACGCUCAUGCACGAAAGCGUGGGGAGCAAACAGGAUUAGAUACCCGCGUAGUCCCUGUCUCUUAUAA
rnacentral:rRNA from 1 species